UUUCACGGCCGCGGUAUCCUGACCGUGCAAAGGUAGCACAAUAAUGAGCCUCCUAAUUAGAGGAUAGAAUGAAUGAACCAACGAGAAAGAAACUGUCUCAUAAAUAUAAACUAAAAUUUAUAUGUGGGUGCAAAAGCCUACAUCCCAAUUAAAGACAAGAAGACCCUAUAAGCUUUUUAAAUUUUUAAUAUCUUUAAUUGAAUUUUUAUUUAGUUGGGGCGACUAAAAGUACAAAACACUUUUCAUCCCUUAGAGAUUAUACCUCACCAUUAUUUAGCUUCAAUACACACAAGUAAGUUACUUUAGGGAUAACAGGCUAAUACUUCCCGAGAGUACGCAUCAACGGAAGUGCUUGGCACCUCGAUGUUGGCUUAGGGUGUCUAUUUCAUGCAGAAGUGAAAUAAGAAGGUUUGUUCAACCACUAACUCCCUACGUGA
rnacentral:rRNA from 1 species